ensembl:lncRNA
AGAGCCAGGAGAUUUCCUGUGGGGGCUGGAAGCCUGGGCCCAGAGAAGGCGGCGUGGGUCACCACGAGGUUCGUCCCGACGGUGCUGUCCUGCCACAGGGAGGCGUCCUACCCACGCCGUGGAGUCUCUUUUUUUCAGGUACACUGUCUGCACUCUGCGUACAUCUCAAGGCUGCUUGAUGCGGAAAUAAUAGCAGCAUUGGGAGGCCUCUGGCCAGUUCCCAGGUUCCUUCGCAGAGCCCAUGUCAGGACCUUCCUGAUCAGAACAUCAGUACAAGUGACUUUAGACUCUCUUCCCGACUAAAGGUCCCUAAAGUUAAACAGUGAGCUCAGAGGAUUAAUUUCCCACUUCCCCACUUGGAAGCAGCAUCCAUGGCUAC